rnacentral:lncRNA from 1 species
UACUUUUCUAACUCCGACAAUCACCUUCACCAUAAACAGCCCCACCUCUUUAAUAUUUAUGUUAAAUUCGAACACCUCGAGCUUGCGUUGAUUUCAAUUGUUUAAAUUUACAAGCCAUUAAAGUAGAGCACAGUGGUGUCAAUUUGAAAAGGGUUCUUUGAUUUGAAUUUUAAUGUGCAAAAUUAAUGUUGAUCUUUAUAUUUUUAAUGUUUUACUAUUUUUAGCGGAGCUUUACCGUGAAACUUUCUGAUUUGAUUACAUUUGUGAAUAUGAAAAACUUGGAAUGAAAUUGAAAUUGGAAGGGAGUUUAGUUUGAUUAUCUUUGUGGUUAUGAACAAUUGGAAUGGAAAUGGAAUUAGAGGAAAUUCGUUAGCGGGGAUAAAAAAAUAUGGUGUGUUAAUGGUGGUGGUAAUGUGUUAAUGGUGGCAAUGUUAAAAUAUACAUAGAGAAUGAAU